AUAGAUCAGGAGAACCAGUUGUCUUAAGUAAAGAGACCCUGAAGUUAAAUCCAAAGGGUAGCUGUUGAAAAGGAAGCAUUGUAAUCCUCUUAAAAGUCAGACUUUGCAGGCGCCACUUGAAUCUUCACCAGCAGGACUAUUUAACAUAGGGGCAUACAUUAUCAACUCCUUCAUUGGAAAUCCCAGCGUAGGAGAAAGUUGGUGCUAAUUCACCAGUUCCAUUGAUAUCUUCAUAAAAAGAACCACGAAACCAAAAGCAACUAGGAUCAAUUGUGAUGUAGAUCCAAAGGAAAUGAUUGAAAUUGAUAAAGCAAGACUCAUCGAUAUUGAAAUAUGUUUAAAAACCAGUAAAAUUAUUCAUCUUCCAAU